rnacentral:rRNA from 1 species
UACGUAGGAUGCGAGCGUUAAUCGGAAUUACUGGGCGUAAAGCGUGCGCAGGCGGUGAUGUAAGACCGAUGUGAAAUCCCCGGGCUUAACCUGGGAACUGCAUUGGUGACUGCAUCGCUCGAGUAUGGCAGAGGGGGGUAGAAUUCCACGUGUAGCAGUGAAAUGCGUAGAGAUGUGGAGGAAUACCGAUGGCGAAGGCAGCCCCCUGGGUCAAUACUGACGCUCAUGCACGAAAGCGUGGGGAGCAAACAGG